rnacentral:tRNA from 2 species
GGCGGCGUGGCCAAGUGGUCUAAGGCGACGGUUUGCAAAACCGUUAUUCGCCGGUUCGAAUCCGGCCGCCGCCU